GGAGGAAAAGAAACUAACAAGGAUUCCCCUAGUAACGGCGAGUGAACAGGGAAGAGCUCAAAUUUGUAAUCUGGCGUCCCUUAGGCGUCCGAGUUGUAAUCUAUAGAAGCGUUUUCCGUGCUGGACCAUGUCCAAGUCCCUUGGAACAGGGUAUCAAAGAGGGUGACAAUCCCGUGCUUGACAUGACGACCAGUGCUCUGUGAUACGCUCUCUACGAGUCGAGUUGUUUGGGAAUGCAGCUCAAAAUGGGUGGUGAGUUCCAUCUAAAGCUAAAUAUUGGCGAGAGACCGAUAGCGAACAAGUACCGUGAGGGAAAGAUGAAAAGCACUUUGGAAAGAGAGUUAAACAGUACGUGAAAUUGUUGAAAGGGAAACGAUUGAAGUCAGUCGUGUCCGAGGGGUUCAGCCGGUUCUGCCGGUGUAUUCCCCUCGGAUGGGUCAACGUCAGUUUGGACCGGUGGAAAAGGGCAGUUGGAAGGUGGCAGCUCCGGCUGUGUUAUAGCCUUCUGUCGCAUACGCCGGUCUAGACUGAGGAAUGCAGCUCGCCUUCAUGGCUGGGGUUCUCCCACAUUCGAGCUUAGGA
rnacentral:rRNA from 1 species